rnacentral:misc_RNA from 1 species
GCCCAAGGUUCAAACCUGGAUCUCU